rnacentral:rRNA from 1 species
UACGGAGGAUCCAAGCGUUAUCCGGAAUCAUUGGGUUUAAAGGGUUCGUAGGCGGUUUAGUAAGUCAGUGGUGAAAGCCCAUCGCUCAACGGUGGAACGGCCAUUGAUACUGCUGAACUUGAAUUACUGGGAAGUAACUAGAAUAUGUAGUGUAGCGGUGAAAUGCUUAGAUAUUACAUGGAAUACCAAUUGCGAAGGCAGGUUACUACCAGUUUAUUGACGCUGAUGGACGAAAGCGUGGGGAGCGAACAGG